rnacentral:rRNA from 1 species
CCUACGGGGAGCUGCAGUGAGGAAUAUUGGUCAAUGGACGAGAGUCUGAACCAGCCAAGUAGCGUGAAGGAUGACUGCCCUAUGGGUUGUAAACUUCUUUUAUAUGGGAAUAAAAUGUUCCACGUGUGGGAUUUUGUAUGUACCAUAUGAAUAAGGAUCGGCGAACUCCGUGCCAGCAGCCGCGGUAAUACGGAGGAUCCGAGCGUUAUCCGGAUUUAUUGGGUUUAAAGGGAGCGUAGGUGGAUUGUUAAGUCAGUUGUGAAAGUUUGCGGCUCAACCGUAAAAUUGCAGUUGAAACUGGCAGUCUUGAGGACAGUAGAGGUGGGCGGAAUUCGUGGUGUAGCGGUGAAAUGCUUAGAUAUCACGAAGAACUCCGAUUGCGAAGGCAGUUCACUGGACUGCAACUGACACUGAGGCUCGAAAGUGUGGGUAUCAAACAGGAUUAGAUACCCUUGUAGUC